GCGGCAUGACCGGCGCACAUGUCAAAGCGCGAGUACCCAUCGCCUUUCUUCUCACAUCGUUUCUUGCAGUUCAGUCAUUCGCGGAAUGCCGCCAAGGGUGUUCAGAAGAAGGAAGAAAACAAAGAUGGAAGCCAGGCAGAAUGCAAAUAUUACACGGAUAAUUCACAAGAACAUCGCCGCUGAAGCUCAUGAAAUGUCAACCUCUCCGACGAACUUACAAUCAUAACCGAAAAAAUGGCUGUGAUCAUAUUGGGAGCACAUUCUCUUCGCUGAGAUCCGACUGAGCGACCAGUUCUGAUCCGUUUCUGUAUACCCUUUUCAAGUCACCUGCAAAAUAACCCUUUCGGCUAGGUGCUAGACUGACAAAUCAACCCUGGAGCAUAUGGAAAAGUGUUAAACUUGAAAGUUUCUGCACAUACAGAUAAUUAAAAACAAAUUGAAGUGCAUUAAAUUUGUAGACUCUGUUUGGCACAUAACCAGCGCCGUAUUUUAGAAUUUUUUCGUUCAUAACGAACAAGUAAGCUCCGGCUCCUUUCAUCUUAACAUGCCACGUCUUUUACGAAUAAAUUGAAAAACAAUUUGCAAGU